AUGGGCUGCAGCCCCGUCUGCUAUAUGGCUCUGUGUCUCCUGGCAACAGGCCUUGUGGAUUCUGGAGUCACCCAGACCCCGAGAUACCUGAUUAAAGCAAGAGGAGAGCGAGGGACCCUGGGAUGCUCCCCUGUCUCUGUACAACUCUCCGUGUACUGGUACCAACAGGCCCUGGGCCAGGGCCCCGAGUUCCUCGUUCAGUAUUACAGGCAGGAAGUGAGGGGAGAAGCUCAGCUCCCGGAUCGAUUCUCAGGAAAACAGUUUAGUGACUUUCACUCUGAGCUGAACCUGAGCUCCUUGGAGCUGACGGACUCAGCCAUGUAUCUCUGUGCCAGCAGCCAAGACACAGCCCUGCAUGAUCAGGUGCCUCUGGGACAGAAACACUCCUGCCCCAGCUCAGGAAGUGGCUGUGAGGGUGACUGCCUGCCUGUCAGGCCUAGAUAGAUCAGAUAGACUGUCCCAGACGUUCUUCCUCUGUUGUGUUUUAAUGCUUCCAAACAGCAUCCUAGGUAGUAUUAUUUUACCUGUUUAUACAUGAGGGGAACUGACUUGCCCAGAUCUUGUAUGUCAUUCUAUA